CAACCAACUUCAAUUUUUCAACCAAUUUUUCAACCAAUUUCAAAAACGCAAAACCAAAUUUUUGUUUACAGAUUUUAUCUUUGCCCCAGAGGAUGUCAGGGCCUGGUUUCAAAGAGUCAGCUUCUAUAGAUCCCUUCCCCAGGCAUGAGAACCACAAGAUACAGACAACUGAGGAAGGAAGGUUUGGAUUUUACUCACGUUUGAUUUCCACCUUGGUCCCUGCGCCGAACGUCCACCACACAUGUGUAUUUUGAUAACAGUAAUAAACUCCCACAUCAUCAGCCUCCACCCUGCUGAUUCUCAGGGUGAAAUCUGUCCCUGAUCCGCUGCCACUGAACCUGUCUGGGACCCCAGUGAAACG